GGGGAUGUAGCUCAGUUGGUAGAGUACUUGCCUACCAUGCCCAAAGCCCCAGGUUCAAUUCCUAGCACCACCA
rnacentral:tRNA from 1 species